rnacentral:rRNA from 2 species
UACGUAGGUGGCGAGCGUUGUCCGGAUUUACUGGGCGUAAAGGAUGCGUAGGUGGAUGUUUAAGUCAGAUGUGAAAUACCCGAGCUUAACUUGGGUGCUGCAUUUGAAACUGGAUAUCUAGAGUGCAGGAGAGGUAAGUGGAAUUCCUAGUGUAGCGGUGAAAUGCGUAGAGAUUAGGAAGAACACCAGUGGCGAAGGCGACUUACUGGACUGUAACUGACACUGAGGCAUGAAAGCGUGGGUAGCAAACAGG